GUGUAGCUCAGUGGUGCAGCACUUGCUUAGCCUGCAAGAGGCCCUGGGUUCAAUUCUCAGCAC
rnacentral:tRNA from 1 species